AUGGGACAGGGGCUGCAACCAGGGGCGUACCCAGGGGCCGCGUCUCGCCGUAGGUCCACCUCGCCGCCCAGCGCCUCCUCUCCGGCCGCCCAGAUCCCCUCGCCUUCCUGCAGGUCCAGCCCAACCCCGACACCACCGACGUCCUCCGCACCGCCGCCCGCACCCCGCACGCGAUGGCUAGGCGCUCAGCCGCGCACGGCAGAGCGCGCUCCCCGGGCCUGGCUCUCCAUGCUUCGUCUCCCCCGACGGCCUGAGGGUGGCCACCCCAAGAACCGACCUGGCCGACGAGGUUGGGAAGAAUCAGGCAUUCAUGGAUGGAUCCUCGAUGAGCCACCCGAUGCUCCCUCCAUCUCCCUUCCCUUCUCUUCAUACGCUGGAGGAAGGACUGGAACCGAGAGCUCCGCCUCCGUGUCUCUCUGCCUCCCCUGCCGGUCUCCGCUAUCCGCUGCCGUCGUCUCACCCUCGGCAGGCCCUCUUCGCCUUCUCUGUUCUUAAAAAAAAUAGUUAUGAUUGAGCAACACGGAAGUCCAUUGCUAUGAAAGACUUGACCAUGCAAUUUGGCGUUUGAUCCUGGACUGAAGGCUAGCUGGUGCAAAAGCUAUGAAUUUCCUUUCCUGUGAUGCAUAUAGUAGGCUAACUUUCUCUUAGUUUCUUUCGUCCGCGCUUUCAUUUGUACAACCGCUACAUGUAUCUCAAUGAAAAAGCUAGCACUUCCUGAAUCUUUCAAAAAGAAGCAACGCAUGAAGUUGUAGUCCCAUGUGAAUUAUAUUUUAUCUUACUCCAAAAUUAGUUCAGAUAUAUGCAUAUGUUACUGGCAGAUUUCUAUAUGAAAUUUAUACAUUCUUUAUUUGCAUUGUUAGAUUUUUCAUGGAGCAGGCAAGCUUAUGAACUUUACAGGUUGACCUUGAUGUAUCCUCUGUUUAUUCUGGCAUAACCUCAUGUAUGGCCUAUAGGCAUGUAAACAGACUUGCAGAUAAUAGUACCAUGAUGAUGGAUACAUGGCAGUGUUUUUGGUUUCUGUCUCCUUAUUAGAUCAAUGUGUUUGAUGUUGUUUCACUGAAACUCAUAUUUGUUCCAUUUGUGACUUGCAGUUACGUAUGGGUUUCACUCCAACAAAAACAAAUUCUGGUUUAUGAUAAGUGAGGUACCUCUCAAAAUAAUGUUAUUAUGGCAGCGGUACGCUCCAGUUUUUUUUUAAUCUUGCUGUUGAAGGGGGAAGAACAGCUACGUACAAUUCAUUGGUUUGUUUAAGCAAGGGACGGAAGGUUGUUCCUGUAUGUAAUACAGUAUGCCAAUCAGCCCUCUAAUCUAUUUAUCAUAUUAUAGCUCAAGAGGGUCAUAGUAGGCUGAGGCCUUGGCUAAACAGGAGCCGAUGCUUUCAUCCUCUCCUCCAUCGCCGGCAGAGCAAGCUAUCAGAAUAUGCAUAAGAAGCCAGUGGAUGCUGGAGCUUCGCCAGUACACGCUCACGUUUCAUGUAAUUAUUGUUGGAACCAAGUUGGGUAUGUUCUUAACCUUCUUCUGCAGUGUAUUAGUUGGACGUGAAGGUCUCUGUUGAAUAAAGGCAUAAACCUCAACAGCGAAGUGAGGCAGUUGGCGUACAGAAGGUAGAAUUUAUCACAUAAAGUUUGAGCAAGUAUUUUCGGUGUUUCUUAAUAUAUUUUAAUUUUUUAUUCUUAUAGUAUGUUAGUUCAAUAUAUGUGAAAAGGAGAAGACAUGAAUGUAAGCAAUUUAAAUCCUGGAAGGCCACUCAUGAAUGGAAAAAAAUUUAGGGUAUUGAGAAUUUUCAUGCAUAAGAGAUAGUUUGAUUCUAGGAGUAAAAGGUGUAUGUACAUGGUAUGAUAUAUCUCACUAAUUUAUUCAUCUUUUUUAUCGAAAGGAUUAUAGUGAAUCUGAACCGCCAGUAGUGUUGUAGUCUGGGUUAAACAGUACCUAAAUGUAUCACAUAAAGUAACAUCACACUCAUUUUAGGAGUUGGCCUAGGAAUCCAUGGAAGAUAAUGCUGAGAUUAAGCAAUAGCUUACUUGGGGAAGAAUACAAUGAAGAAGGGUGGUCUAAAUGAGUUUAUCCGACCAUCACUAGCAUGUUAAAUUUUUGACUAUUAAACUGAACAUUACACAUAUGUAACUUGACUGUAACAGACCCUACAGAAAGUUUAUGAACUAACAAUUGUUAGGGAAAGAUUAUGCUUUUCUGUAAUACAUCAGAACCAACAGAAUUAAGAUUUUAGUUUAAUAUCUAGGAACUGUGUAAACAUCUCUUCCGUACUGUUUUAUACAGUUUAAAUGAUUGAUUGCACACACAAAUUGUAAUGUCUUGGCUUACUUAAUGGGGGUAGCAGGGCAUACUCGCUAAUGAUAUGUUGAAGUGUACGGGCAGUAUGUCAAUAUAUGCUUUCUCACCCUCUGUCCCGUACAUGGUAAUAAAGUGACCUUCCCUAUAUUCUUUUUGUUGGUAAUACUCUCCUUGAUGUGUCCUAGAAUUUUAUUUUAAGGAGAGCUUUUUGAGGUGUUAUAUAAUAUGCGCUGUUUGGGUUGGAACAUACUUUACUUUAGGUGUUGCACUUUUCCUCGGUGUUAAAUCACUUUAGGAGACUCUGCUUUGGAUUUGGAUAGUGCAACAGCUGGGUUCUCUGCUUUGUUCUAUUCGCAGCUAACAGUGCACAAUCACUUAGUUGCUCCUGAAAACCACCAUCAGAAUUAACUCUCCUGUUCAUUUCAAGAUCAUGGUUCCGUAAAAAUGGCAUUUAUGUUACGUACACUUAAUUAUGAACUUCACAAAAAUUGGAGGGUGUGUGCUUCCCUUUUAAUAUUCAUAGCUACAUGUUUUCAUGAUAAUGGGCAAUGGAAAUUGAUAUCAUAAGAUUGGUUAUCCUAUAUUUACACUCAUCAAUUUAACAGUAACAUGUUCAGUUGAUUUUUUGCAAAAUUGAGAUAUUUUCUUUUGCCAACUUGACCAGUGCAAUCUCAAACAAGUGAAUCAAAGUUAUGAAACUGCAUGUGUGGCUGCUAUUAACUUGAGGCUCUUAAUCAACUAAGCUAGAGUUUUCAGUAAUGACCAAUUCAAUUCUAUGGUUAGAGAUUCGGUUAUAUGUCUUUAUGGAGUGUUUCCAUGUUCUAUAGCCGUCAUAUUUUGAAAUUGCACUAUCCAUCAUGUACACAUGGAAAUCCAAAUUAUUUCCACACUAUUGUCAGAGUAGCUAUUCAUUCCUUUUACUGAGUGGUGCUAAUGGACGAUAUCAAAUGGAUAUGCUCGACACAAAGUAUGAAGAUUUUCAAGUCAAAGAAGUAUGAGUAUGACAGGAAAAAGAAGGAACUGCAAGUGGAGCUAAACGAAGUUCUAUUGUAGUGGAGCAAAGCCGGAACAUACCAUUGUCAUGUAUUGCUGCAAGUCUUUUGACUAUGACAUUUACAUACUUUUUUUAAUUUAUUUUCCUUGAUUAUUGUAUCACUUCUAUUCCUGGUGUAAAAUGACAUUUACAUAAUUAUUUAAAUUAUUUUUCUUGAUUA